AUCAGCACAUAGUGCAAACAGAAGUCACAGUACCGAUGCAGAAGACUCUCCCACGUCAGAGGAUAUUUGGAUUGUGACCUGAGAUACUGAAGCUGAGAAAUCCUGUAGUGCUCACUGACCACACGAGUCUUUUAUUUGUGGAAAGCAUGUAUCACUUUUUGUUCUUCUGUUUUGUGUUCAACUAAUUUUGAUUGUUCAGGAUUUAGAAGUGAAACUAGGAAGUUGUAGAUUUUCACCAUGCUCUUAUAAAAAGCUCUUUCUAAA